rnacentral:rRNA from 1 species
UUCUACGGCCAUGCCACCCUUAACAAGCCGGAUCCCGUCUGAUCUCGGAAGCUAAGCAGGGUCAGGCCUGGUUAGUACUUGGAUGGGAGACCACCUAGGAAGACCAGGUGCUAUAGGUG